UGACCUACCUGUUUGGUUUUGAUCUGGU
rnacentral:piRNA from 1 species